GCAUGGGUUUGGAUUUAUGGCAGGCUUGUCACCCUGGGCCUCUCAUAGUGUCCCAUGCUAGAGCAAACUGUGGCUCCUAACCAUUGCCCGGCCUCCGUGCCUGUGGGCUGCUGGCACUGAAGUGGGUCACACAGUG
ensembl:snoRNA Gm22748 predicted gene, 22748